rnacentral:tRNA from 1 species
AAAUUUAACUGUGCAACUCAGUUUAAUUUGAUAAUUAUAAUCUUACUUUUAUUUAAAAUUUAAAAUGUGAGAAAUA